UACGUAGGGGGCAAGCGUUGUCCGGAUUUAUUGGGCGUAAAGAGCGUGUAGGCGGCUAGAUAGGUCCGUUGUGAAAACUCGAGGCUCAACCUCGAGACGCCGGUGGAAACCAUCUAGCUAGAGUCCGGAAGAGGAGAGUGGAAUUCCUGGUGUAGCGGUGAAAUGCGCAGAUAUCAGGAAGAACACCCGUGGCGAAGGCGGCUCUCUGGUACGUGACUGACGCUGAGACGCGAAGGUCAGGGGAGCAAACGGG
rnacentral:rRNA from 1 species